UGCUUAAAGAGAUAAUUAAUUAGUAGGUAGGGCUUACAGCGAGCAUUCUUGGCAAUCCACUUUCAAUUAGCCGUCCCUCUCGAAGAGAACCGCCAAGUGCAUAGCCAGUGUUACGCUGUGUUGGUCCCUGGUUAAAGGCACACGGAUCAGUGAUCUUGGUGCUUGGCCUUCCGUUGACGGAAGGGAUCGCUUUUGACAUGUCGAGGAUCCCAGCGUUGCAGUGGUCCUCCGGGCUAUUCCGGACUUCACCACCGAGUACCGUCGUUAAUCGAUGUUCUGCAAACAGUGGUUCUAUGCCAGCGCUCCUCCAACCCGUCCAAGUGCGUUUAAGCUCGUUUAGUCAAUUAGUAAUCGUCGAGCAAUCCGAUUGAGUCGAGGGAUACUCGAAAACCGGCCUUCAAGCUCCUUUCACACCGCCCGCGGCCGCGGCCGCGCCUCUUUAAAUACUUCAAAAAAGCUUUUCCUCCGCUGCGAAGUUUGAUCUAAUGACGCAAUUCAUGCGAAAGGUGUAAGAACCCAAGAUGUUGUCAUGAUGGCCGAUGCAUUCGCGGCAAAACAAAGUAUUCGGACACGACGCAAGUGAGUCGUCAAGCAGCUGAUCCGUGAAACAAUGGCGAACUUGAGAUAUCCGAUAAAUUUUGAAUCGUAACUGGAAUAUUGGAAUUGUUGAAGAAGUUGUUUUUCCAAGAAACUCUGUAUCGUAGUUGAAAUGUUCAUUCUGUCUGAAAUGUUCAUUUGUUGCAUUCAUUGAAUAUGAUAUAGUCUUAUUGUUAUUGAUCUUUACGAAACAUAGUUGAAAGAUUUGCAAGAACAAUUAUCCCAUAAAGGCAAUAAUAAAAUGCCGAUUUUGACGAACCCUUGCAAAUUCACAGUGCAGCCAAAAAUGUCCGAAUCAUAUCUUUCUGUAUGGCAAUCAUCCACAUUUAGGGAGUAAACGCAGGCCUUAAAGGUGGAAUUGAAAAUACAUGUUUUCGGAUACAUCCUAGAAAACUAUCAGAAAUAGAGGAAUUGUGUCAAUGGACGAAUUUUGUGCUUUGAACGGCGAACAUGCUUGUGUAAACAGAUUUUUAAAAAUUAACAAAUCAUUGCAAUGUUAAUGGAAUUUCAAAAUGUUUCACAUUCAUACGAGCAAACAUAAGGCGAUUACUUAUGAAAAAAUGAGAAGAAAAAAUGGAGUCAAAUUUUUUCACACGAUGUUUCGUUCUAGAGAAAAUCAAAUUCGAAACUCUAUCGAGUAUAUUUGAACAUGAUUGAUUUCAGACUGACCAGGAGUAAAUAGUAAAUAGGAGGUUCUUCUAUAGGAGCUUCGUGCGAAAAUAAGUUAAAAAUAUAAAAUACAAUUUUUUUACAAGAUAUUUCUGAGAAAAAUAAAUAAAAAGAUUUAUCAUACAUCUGUACCAGGCUAAUUCUUAACUAAAUAUGUUCAAACUAAAUAUUUUUUUGGACAUGAAGUAUAAACUUUAAAUGGAAAAAUUUUACUCCACAUUGUGAUUUAUUUUCAUAUGCAGAAUAACUUUCUGCUGAUUGUUUACUCAUAUCCAGUUGGUAAUUAGCAAAAUUCAAUGACAAAUCCGUUAACUAGAUUGUCUCGAAAAUUAAGUCUCCGACGAAAAAUAGUUUUCCUAUGCUUUUCUCAUUUUCCUGUAAGAAGUUACCUCAUGCCCUUUUGUACAUGUUAUUCGGGCAGACCUUGUAUUUUCAUGAAAUAUCUGUAUAAAUGUUGAAAUUUUUUUCACUGUACGUCUAUGGAACUCUUAUUUCAGCGUAGAGAAACCGUAGACGGUUUAAUCGACGGAAAAGCGGCAGGUUUCAAAAUGGCGCCGCCAUCCCACAGACGAUCAGAGAUUGAAUGGGGGGCCGUGGAAAGGUAAAGGCGUCAGGAUAAGUUGUGGCUGUAACCGGAAAAUAAAUUUUCUCUCGGUAAAGCUUGCUGACGCGAGACCAGACACGUUCGCUUGUCGUUGAAUCUGCACGCUUUUCUCACGUACAACCCUAUAAAACUUCGUACACCGAUUCACGCCAAUACACGCUUGCCACUUUGGUCCCUUUUUUUCAAACGGUGUCUGUAUUUCAAGAUGGAUUGGGUAAUCGUUUGCUCUAAAUCAAAAUUAAAUACAGAAGAAGCACAAUUACAUUUUGGAAUAUGUAAUUGUAAUUAUUAUACAUUCUAGUCACAGUAUGGUACGUAUAUGUGGAUAUCUUUUAAAUCCUUUAAAAUUUUUAAAUAAUGAUUGAAUUUGGUGAA